rnacentral:rRNA from 1 species
GAUGAACGCUAGCGAUAGGCUUAACACAUGCAAGUCGAGGGGCAGCACAUGAGUGGUAACACGAUGGUGGCGACCGGCGCACGGGUGAGUAACACGUAUGCAACCUGCCCAUAACUGGGGAAUAACCCGUCGAAAGGCGGCCUAAUACCGCAUAAUGAUGAUGUCCCUCCUGGGAUGUCGUCUAAAGAUUUAUCGGUUAUGGAUGGGCAUGCGUUCCAUUAGAUUGUUGGUAGGGUAACGGCCUACCAAGUCUUCGAUGGAUAGGGGUUCUGAGAGGAAGGUCCCCCACACGAGUACUGAGACACGGACCAGACGCCUACGGUAAGCAGCAGUGAGGAAUAUUGGCCAAUGGGCGAGAGCCUGAACCAGCCCAAUCGCGUGAAGGAUGAAGGUAUUAUGUAUUGUAAACUUCUUUUGUCAGGGAAUAAAGUGCGGGACGUGUCCCGUUUUGUAUGUACCUGAAGAAUAAGGAUCGGCUAACUCCGUGCCAGCCGCCGCCGUAAUAC